rnacentral:rRNA from 1 species
UACGUAGGUGGCAAGCGUUGUCCGGAUUUACUGGGCGUAAAGAGCGCGCAGGCGGUCGUUCAAGUCGCGUGUGAAAGCCCCCGGCUCAACUGGGGAGGGUCACGCGAUACUGAUCGACUCGAAGGCAGGAGAGGGUAGUGGAAUUCUCGGUGUAGUGGUGAAAUGCGUAGAUAUCGAGAGGAACACCAGUGGCGCAAGCGGCUGACUGGCCGAGACCUGGCGCUGAGACACGACGGCGUGGGGAGCAAACCGG